rnacentral:lncRNA from 10 species
CCUGGGUUUCCGAAAAUGGGGCGUGGCCCACAUGUAGCAGAGGUGCAGAGAAAUACAGCCCCCAGCUUGGCUGGGACAGGAUGGGCGUGGUCAUGGCCCAUUGCAAGCGGCAGGUGAAGUGCCUGGGCGAGGUCUGGGCAAAGGGAAGUGGACGGCCCAGGUGAAGAGAAGCGAGGCAGAAAUUAGGGAGGGGGCGUGGCCGAUUUAGAGAAGCAAUCAGAGUGAAUAGGGCGUAGCUGUGGGGACAGGCGUGACAUGGAAGAGCAUAGGGGCCAGUCAGGGAGGAGACCUUGGAGGGAGAGAAAUGGAGGGUGCCUGAGGGGGAUGUGCUAAAGCCAAAGCACAUUUGCCCCCUCCCAGCGGGUAGGGGAGUGGUGGAGGCGGAGCACAGAGGUGUGGCCUGUCAGAGAAGGCGUUGUUACGACAGCACAGAGAGUACGGCCCUAGGAGCAGGACCCUGCACACAGCUGAGCUCAGAGGCUCCAGUCUGGCCACGAGAAUGCAAUGGGAGGUAUUCUUCAUUGAUCUUACUCGAAGUUGAGAACAUGUAUUUUGACUCUGAGAAAUGUGAGGGCCAGGCCUGCUCACUUGUGUGAGGGUGCAGGCUCUUAUGAUCUGGCUUUCAUUCUGGCUUCCUCUCUGUUGGAGUCUUCUCUUCCUCCCAUUUGGAAGUCAAGUCAAGACUUCUGCUCCUGCCCAGCCUGGACCACCUUGGUCUUGGACACUGGAAGCAAACCUGUGCUUUUUAAUUCUGCUUCCUGUUUGGAGGUCAACUGCAGUGAGGUCUCUAUACCACAGAGUGGUGAGUCCCCAAGUCCCGGUGAACUUAGGAAAUGGGCAUUAUCCUCUGGAAGACGUUUAUAGAGGUGACUUUUUUGAUAGAAAAUUGGAUGUCUGCCUGGCAAAUUGGAUAAAGGGUCAAGACCCAUCAGUGUGCUGUAUUCAGGAAACCCAUCUCACAUGCAAAGACACACAUAGGAUCAAAAUAAAGGGAUGGAGGAAGAUCUACCAAGCAAAUGGAAAAUAAAAAAAGGCAGG